rnacentral:rRNA from 1 species
GAUGAACGCUAGCUACAGGCUUAACACAUGCAAGUCGAGGGGCAGCAUGAACUUAGCUUGCUAAGUUUGAUGGCGACCGGCGCACGGGUGAGUAACGCGUAUCCAACCUGCCCUUGUCCACCGGAUAACCCGUCGAAAGGCGGACUAACACGGUAUGCAGUCCACAGCAGGCAUCUAACGUGGACGAAAUGUAAAGGAGAAGGAUGGGGAUGCGUCUGAUUAGCUUGUUGGCGGGGUAACGGCCCACCAAGGCGACGAUCAGUAGGGGUUCUGAGAGGAAGGUCCCCCACAUUGGAACUGAGACACGGUCCAAACUCCUACGGGAGGCAGCAGUGAGGAAUAUUGGUCAAUGGACGGAAGUCUGAACCAGCCAAGUAGCGUGCAGGAUGACGGCCCUAUGGGUUGUAAACUGCUUUUAUAUGGGGAUAAAGUGAGCCACGUGUGGCUUAUUGCAGGUACCAUAUGAAUAAGGACCGGCUAAUUCCGUGCCAGCAGCCGCCGUAA